rnacentral:lncRNA from 1 species
UCUCCCCAAAGUGUUUAUCUUAUGCAGGCACUAUGCCAGGUCCUUCCCAUGGAUGGUUCUAUUGCUCAUUUCACUCCACACCUCUGCAAAAUAGAUUUCUUUCUAUUUCAUAAUGAGGAAACUGAGGUUGAGGAAUUAUCAGUGACUUACUCACCAUCAAACAUCUUUUCCAGGAUUUAACUGGGAUUUAAAAUUAGGUCUCUCUAUGCAGGAAGUCUAUGCUUUCUUGACUCUAUUCCUCCAAAUUAAAUUUCUUUCCCAAACCCCCUGAUUGCUCAGCACUCUGUGAACUCAUAGUGCUCAUUGAAGAAAAUUAGACACAGAACCAGAAGUUGUAAACCAUCUGACAUUUGAAAAGCUACCAUCAACUACUCCUACUAGGAGGAGGUGAAAGAUGCACUCUUGGGAGGAAUCACAAGAGUUCAUGGAGGGAGAGUUGAUGCCAGGUAUCAGUUAAAGCCUCCAGUUAACCUUGUUACUUGGUGUUGGCUAGAUCACAGGGUUUGGAAGGGUGAUGUAGAGAAAAACUUGAGAAAAACAACUCCAGCCACACCUGCAGUCCCAUGGUUAACAUUUCAGCAUCUGCUGUACAGAGCGUGUUAGCACAGGAGAGAACCUCAGCUUUGGAGGCAUAUAUAAUAAUGAGUCACACAAUCAUUAAUGUGUGAACCCCAGGCAGGGAGCUCACAUUUUGUAGGAGAGAAGAGUUUUUGUUCAAUCAUAAGCGCUCCCCUACUGGGUCUGGAAUUGCUCUCUGCACCAAAAAUGCCUGACUUCAUUUUCUUUGAAUUUAAAAGGACCUUCACAAACAUUUUGGCUUAAAUAUAAAGGAAAACUUUUUAUAAGGGAAGAGGAAUUAGAACAAAAGUUUAGUAGAGUGUUAUUGAAAUGGCUUUGUUGAAAAUGCCUCCAAUGAAAAUAGAGUUUAAAAAAAAGAAAAUAGAGUUUAAAAAAAAGAAUAUGCCCCCAGCCCACUCCCCAUUCUUCUUUCUCAGGUACAAAUUGUUUCUAUAAAAGAGAACAAAGAAAAAGAAGCCUGAUAGAUGUAGAUUACUUAUAUUUUACAACAGAAACUAAAACAGAAGUGCCCUUUAAAAUGAUGUGACUAAAAUAAACACUACAAAUUAAAUAAUUUUUUUCAAUAGCAUAAAAUAUAAACAUUCCUGCAAAGGGAGGAUUCAGAGUUUGGGCUUCAGACAUCAACCCUGGUGGUUUAUUAUGGGUUAAUCUGUCUUCCCUUGUCGUUUCUCAGUUUCACUUGAGUUUCACAUUAGUUUUAACUGGGCUGUACUGAUACCUGGAGCUGGUCACCUUGUCCUUGUAAAAAAAUCAUCUCUGCCACUUUUUCCUACUGGUUACAAGCAGAAAGAAGCAGGGGCUAGUUUGCACAUAUGGGUACCUCACGGAAGCUUUCUUGCUGUUCCAACCAAAAGACACUGCAAAAGUGUUUAAAGUUGGAAAAUCAAUUACAUGAUUUACAACAAACCGUAAUUUUCUUUUCUGCCUGCGGGAUAGAAAUCUGGAUCUUUCAUCGAAGAAGUCAGUCUUUACUGGAUUAUGAACUGGAGAAAAUAAGUUUCCAAAUAAAAUCAUCUUGAAAGAAGGUGAGACCAUCAUGGGAGUUCGUUCCAUGUUUUCUCACCUCACUUCAAAUUGUGUUCCCGAGUCCAUGAACCUUCAAGAAAACUUCAUCCAUGGACCAUCCAUGUUUGCCAUGCCUUUGAUUACAUGAUGGGGUAAUGAAAUCUUAGGCAAGGAAUACCUUCAGUUUUGACCUUGCAUGUUCCCUCCUAAACCUCAGAACACAGAUCCAUAUACUUUUUCUGUUGCGUAUGUAUAAACUUUUCGCUUGGAGAAAUUUUUGUAAUGGACAUUGCUUCGGAGUUGUGUAUUUGAUUGUGGUUCCCACUUGGAUAAACAUAAGCAACUCAUCUCAGGAGCAACAUCUGGAACUCUCCACUAAGUUCUUCUCAGAACCAACAUGGGCAAAACUCAUGUUAAAAAAAUCAUUUUUCCUAGGAUUCUACUACCAGUCUUUGUGGUUUCCUCAACCUGGGACCCCUGAAGUUAACUAACCUGCUUCUAAACUCAGAUGACCUCACUUGCCCCAUCAAUGUUUCCUCUCAGGCAAGAAUCAUAAACUGAGCCUCACCAAGAUACAGGCAACUAUUAGGAGAAAAGGAUACUUUGUACAUUAAGGAAUGUAUAUUACCAAAAUGGUAGCUUCCAAGCCGGGAUACCUGGACCCCAAAAUUCUCUGUGUAAAGGAAAGGAAAUAGCUUUGAGCUAUUUUCCACAUUUAAGAGACACUUACCCAGGAGACAGUCAUCUAGCAGAUAAAUCAAAUUUCCUUCUUUGAACUUUAAUUUUAUCAACCCAGUGUGGUAAUUUGAGUUAACAUGUGCUAAAGAAUAAUUUAUAAAUACCAAAUAUUUGUUAUUCAAAAAUCCAUCAGAGAUGUGAGUCAUGGAGGAGAUUACAAAUCAGUUUGAAUGGUGAAAAGUUUGGACCCCUGAAUUAGAGAAAUAAAGAUUUAAUAGCAACAUUUCUGACAUCAGCUUGGGACUGUGAUAAAGGAGAGAAAGAUAUAGAGGCAAAAAACUCAUGGAAUAGACUCCUGCUCAGUGUCUGGCUGGACAGUUUUAAACACAGCCAUUCGCUAGGCCGUGGGCACCUUCGUAUUGGGACUGGUUUUAUUCCAGUCUUUCCCUGGCAUUGAGCAUAGCAGUUACUUUGUCUGUAGUAGAAGAUACUUCAUAAACAUCUAUGAAAUGGGAUGGAAGAAGAGAGAACUUAACUCACCUGAGGAUACACAUUUGAGCCAGUAUCAGAAUUCAGAUCUGUCUCAGUAACCCCUGUUGUUUUCAGCCUUGUUAUGACUUUGUAUCAUCCUAGAUGUCCUGAAGUCAUCUACACAAAAUAUUGCAUACUGUAUCAUGUAGAGGAAACAUUUAUACCUCUGCCCAUCUUAGAAUUACUGUUCUUUGUGAUGUGGUUUUCUGUCCUAAAUUGGAAACCUUUCUGCUUUUCACAGGACCAACUAUUUCUCCAUAUCACACAAACAAAGAAUGAUGGCUUGUGUUAAUUUGUGAGCCUGGUGCCCUCAGGGGCACAGAAGUCUUGUGUCCAGGCUGGGAUGAGGCUCACAGAGUCUGGCUUUGGGCUGUCCACUUAGUGGGGGUAUCUUUCUCCCUCAGGUCUUGCUUGUGCUGACCUCUAGGGCCUUCAGGGCAAGCUUGGUCUGCCCUCAUUUGAAAGGCUCAAGACUGGGCACAGCAGGUCCAGAUG